rnacentral:tRNA from 1 species
GCUCUGGUAGCUCAGCUAGGAAGAGCACUGUCUUGGUAUGAUAGAGAUCGCUGGUUCGAAUCCAGCCCAGGGCU